GACGUAGGGCGCGAGCGUUGUCCGGAAUUAUUGGGCGUAAAGAGCUCGUAGGCGGCCUGUUGCGUCCGCUGUGAAAGCCCGGGGCUUAACCCCGGGUCGGCAGUGGAUACGGGCAGGCUAGAGGUAGGUAGGGGAGAAUGGAAUUCCCGGUGUAGCGGUGAAAUGCGCAGAUAUCAGGAGGAACACCGGUGGCGAAGGCGGAUCUCUGGGCCAUUACUGACGCUGAGGAGCGAAAGCGUGGGGAGCGAACAGG
rnacentral:rRNA from 1 species